rnacentral:ribozyme from 1 species
AAGGCAUAUGGCUGGCCAUAGCAGAAACACUCAUGGUGCGACCCUGUCAGAUUCCAGAAAAUCUGCAAAUUCUGCU